GACGAACGCUGGCGGCGUGCUUAACACAUGCAAGUCGAACGAAGUGGCGAACGGGUGAGUAACGCGUAAUCAACCUGCCCUUCCGAGGGGGACAACAGUUGGAAACGACUGCUAAUACCGCAUACUGAAGGAGGGGAUUGCGUCUGAUUAGCUAGUUGGAGGGGUAACGGCCCACCAAGGCGAUGAUCAGUAGCCGGGCUGGGAGGAUGAACGGCCACAUUGGGACUGAGAAACGGCCCAGACUCCUACGGGAGGCAGCAGUGGGGAAUCUUCCGCAAUGGAGGAAAGUCUGACGGAGCAACGCCGCGGGAGUGAUGACGGCCUUCGGGUUGGAAAGCUCUGUUAAUCGGGACGCGGUACCGGAAUAGAAAGCAACGGCUAACUACGUGCCAGCAGCCGCGGUAAUAC
rnacentral:rRNA from 1 species